rnacentral:rRNA from 1 species
AUUGAACGCUGGCGGCAGGCCUAACACAUGCAAGUCGAACGCGUGGCGGACGGGUGAGUAAUGUCUGGGACACUGCCUGAUGGAGGGGGAUCACUACUGGGAACUGUAGCUCAUAACGCAUACCCUAACAUGUGUCCAGAUGGGAUUAGCUUGUUGGUGGGGUAACGGCGCACCAAGGCGACGAACCCUAGCUGGUCUGAGAGGAUGACCAGCCACACUGGAACUGAGACACGGUCCAGACUCCGACGGGAGGCAGCAGUGGGGAAUAUUGGACAAUGGGCGCAAGCCUGAUGCAGCCAUGCCGCGUGUAUGAAGAAGGCCUUCGGGUUGUAAAGUACUUUCAGCGGGGAGGCGUUACCCGCAGAAUAAGCACCGGCUAACUCCGUGCCAGCAGCCGCGGUAAUAC